UUUUUGCACCCUGCUUCAGGUGCCCCUCGCAAUAAUGCUUGGGGUGAAACGGGAAGCUGGUGCAUCCCGCAAACUAGGAUAAAGCCAGCGCUGCCCCCGCAACGGUAAAUGAGUCAAUAAUCUGCCACAUGCCACUGUGUAUUGCACGGGAAGGCGCAGAUAGGGGAUCGAGGAUCCACUCAUAAGCCCGGAGACCGGCCUGAAGAAAUAUCAGGUAU
rnacentral:ncRNA from 1 species